CACGUAGGAAGCAAGCGUUGUUCGGAUUUACUGGGCGUAAAGAGUGCGUAGGCGGUUGUAUAAGUCAAGGGUGAAAUCCCUAUUCUCAAGGUAGGAACUGCCUUUGAUACUGUAUGACUCGAGAGUAAGAGGGGGGAACGGAACUCUGGGAGUAGCGGUGAAAUGCGUAGAUAUCCAGAGGAACGCCGGUGGCGAAGGCGGUUCCCUGGCUUACUUCUGACGCUGAGGCACGAAAGCUAGGGGAGCGAUCGGGAUUAGAUACCCCCGUA
rnacentral:rRNA from 1 species